GCGUCUGAUUAGGUAGUUGGUAGGGUAACGGCCUACCAAGCCGACGAUCAGUAGGGGUUCUGAGAGGAUUAUCCCCCACACUGGUACUGAGACACGGACCAGACUCCUACGGGAGGCAGCAGUGAGGAAUAUUGGUCAAUGGGCGAGAGCCUGAACCAGCCAUCCCGCGUGCAGGAUGACGGCCCUAUGGGUUGUAAACUGCUUUUCUGCUCCAAGAAACCCUGUUACGUGUAACAGGUUGACGGUAGAGUAGGAAUAAGCAUCGGCUAACUCCGUGCCAGCAGCCGCGGUAAUACGGAGGAUGCAAGCGUUAUCCGGAUUCAUUGGGUUUAAAGGGUGCGCAGGUGGGAAUGUAAGUCAGUGGUGAAAUACUGCCGCUUAACGGUAGAGCUGCCAUUGAUACUGCGUUUCUUGAGUAUGGUUGAGGUAGGUGGAAUGUGUUGUGUAGCGGUGAAAUGCAUAGAUAUGACACAGAACGCCGAUUGCGAAGGCAACUUACUAAGCCAUUACUGACGCUGAGGCACGAAAGCGUGGGUAGCGAACAGGAUUAGAUACCCUGGUAGUCCACGCUGUAAACGAUGUUCACUCGCUGUUUGCGAUACACAGUAAGCGGCUGAGCGAAAGCAUUAAGUGAACCACCUGGGGAGUACGAUCGCAAGGUUGAAACUCAAAGGAAUUGACGGGGGCCCGCACAAGCGGAGGAACAUGUGGUUUAAUUCGAUGAUACGCGAGGAACCUUACCUGGGCUUAAAUGUAGAUUGCAUAACUUAGAAAUAGGUUUUCCCUUCGGGGCUAUUUACAAGGUGCUGCAUGGUUGUCGUCAGCUCGUGCCGUGAGGUGUCGGGUUAAGUCCCAUAACGAGCGCAACCCCUAUCGUUAGUUGCCAGCGGGUCAAGCCGGGGACUCUAGCGAGACUGCCACCGUAAGGUGAGAGGAAGGUGGGGAUGACGUCAAAUCAGCACGGCCCUUAUGUCCAGGGCUACACACGUGUUACAAUGGCCGAUACAAAGGGCAGCUACUUCGCGAGAAGAUGCUAAUCUCUAAAGUCGGUCCCAGUUCGGAUUGGAGUCUGCAACCCGACUCCAUGAAGUUGGAUUCGCUAGUAAUCGCGCAUCAGCCAUGGCGCGGUGAAUACGUUCCCGGGC
rnacentral:rRNA from 1 species